GUGCUUGAUUUGGCAGCGUGUAUACUAGAAUUGGAACAAUACAGAGAAGAUUAGCAUGGCCCCUGAACAAGAAUGACACACAAAUUUGUGAAGUGUUCCAUAUUUAU